UACGGAGGAUGCGAGCGUUAUCCGGAUUUAUUGGGUUUAAAGGGUGCGUAGGCGGCCGAGUAAGUCAGCGGUGAAAUUUUGCAGCUUAACUGUAACAGUGCCGUUGAUACUGCAUGGCUAGGAUUUGGUUGCUGUGGGUGGAAUGUGUGGUGUAGCGGUGAAAUGCUUAGAGAUCACACAGAAUAUCGAUUGCGAAGGCAGCUCACAAAGCCAAGAUUGACGCUGAGGCACGAAAGUGUGGGGAUCAAACA
rnacentral:rRNA from 1 species